UACAGAGGGGGCAAGCGUUAUUCGGAAUUAUUGGGCGUAAAGGGCGCGUAGGCGGCCUGGCAAGUGGAAGGUGAAAUCCCUCGGCUUAACCGAGGAACUGCCCUCCAAACUGCUUGGCUUGAGUCCGGGAGAGGUGAGUGGAAUUCCCGAGUGUAGCGGUGAAAUGCGUAGAUAUUGGGAGGAACACCAGUGGCGAAGGCGGCUCACUGGACCGGAACUGACGCUGAGGCGCGAAAGCGUGGGGAGCAAACGGG
rnacentral:rRNA from 1 species